rnacentral:lncRNA from 1 species
AACUGAAUUCAUUGCAAAUUUUUGAUGAAGCGUGUGGAGAUUGUUUUGCAGGGUAUUUCAAGACUUCGAGACUCUAUGUCGUGUCCUAAGUCAUAGAGUUUGUAUUAGGAUGUGAAAAAUGUAAUUUUGUUUUUAUUGGAUCGAUCAUGCAGAAGGUUGUUGUUUGGUGAUUGCAAUAACCUUCUUAUUUUUAUUUUUGGAUAAGCAUUGUAAAUUUUUUUUGUAUUUUGUCACGAAAUCGCCAAAGGGGGAGAUUGUUAAGGAUUUUAUAAGUUGGCGAAUUUCGUGAAGUAUUGAACGGAGUCUCGAAGAAUUAGAAGAUGAAGAUUGAAGAAAGAGUUGAGCUUUCGUGAUCAAAGACCCUUGGGAUCUCAGGUAUGAUUAUAAAUAAUUUGUGGUGAAGUUUUUAUUGUUAAAAGAUGUUUUGAAGACUUGGUUUAUAUUUGAGUUGACUAAACUUAAGUUUUCUAAAAAACUCAGGGGUCGGGGACCGGUCCUUGAUCAGAAGGACCGGACCCAUCAAGCUUCUCUGCGUAGAAGGUUUGGGAGACCGGUCUCUGAUCUUGAGGACCGGUCCCCGUACGUGGUUUUCCUUGUUGCGCAGGGAAGGACCGGUCUCUGAAUUGAGGACCGGUCCCCGUACGCAUAUUUUUACAUCUACGCAGCGAAAGACCGGACCUCACCUUGGAGGACCGGUCUCCCAAGGACCGGUCUCCUCGAAAGGACCGGACCCUGAGACCGUCGUCAGUUUUUAAAAUUGAGUUUUUGGAAUCCUAAUCUAUCUAGAAGUCUUCUAAACCUAUAAAUAUGAUAUGAGGAUCUCUAUUUGAGAGGAGUUGAGCGAGAUAACUUUUUAGAAACCCUAACGGCUUGAUUCGGAGUUUUGUUCUAUGUUUUUAAACAUCAAGCGUUAGAUCGCCAAUUUGAUUCUUUGAUUUUGAUUCAAAUUUUCGUUAAGGAUCAAAUUGGUGAUGUUUUAAUUUGGGUUUCUCCUCAUAUUAUAUGUGCUUUCAAAGAUCUUAAAUCACCACAAAUUGUUGAAUUUCUACGAGCUUCGGAUGGAGCGUUAGCGCGUGGAUCUCGCGUGGAGACCGUGGAUUCGGUGGGCGUUUCGUGGAAUCGAGGCGUGUGCGGCUGCAAGGACUUGCAGUGUGAUCGGUUGGAGGAUUCCAAGCGAUCGUGGACUAGCAAAGAUAAUCUACAACGAGGAUUCGGUAUUUUGAGUCUUGUAUUUUUGCUAAAUCACUUGUACUCAUGUUUUCUUAGUGGAUUUCUUUGUGUGAUCGGUCCCGUGGGUUUUUCUCUCCGAUUUGGAGUUUUCCCACGUUAUUUCUCGGUGUGCUGAUUUUAUUUUCCGCAUUUACUUUAUAUUUGCAUCGAGUUUAUUUUUUUUUUACCGUUUACACCUAUUCACCCCCCUCUAGGUGUUUU